rnacentral:rRNA from 1 species
UCUCAGUUCGGAUUGGAGUCUGNAACCCGACUCCAUGAAGCUGGAUUCGCUAGUAAUCGCGCAUCAGCCACGGCGCGGUGAAUACGUUCCCGGGCCUUGUACACACCGCCCGUCAAGCCAUGGGAGCCGGGGGUACCUGAAGUGCGUGACCGCAAGGAGCGCCCUAAGGUAAAACCGGUGACUGGGGCUAAGUCGUAACAAGGUAUC